GGGGAUAUUGCACAAUGGGGGAAACCCUGAUGCAGCGACGCCGCGUGGGCGAAGAAGUAUUUCGGUAUGUAAAGCCCUAUCAGCAGGGAAGAAGAAAUGACGGUACCUGAGUAAGAAGCACCGGCUAAAUACGUGCCAGCAGCCGCGGUAAUACGUAUGGGGCAAGCGUUAUCCGGAUUUACUGGGUGUAAAGGGAGCGUAGGCGGCCUGGCAAGCCUGAUGUGAAAUACCGGGGCCCAACCCCGGGGCUGCAUUGGGAACUGCCAGGCUGGAGUGCCGGAGAGGCAGGCGGAAUUCCUAGUGUAGCGGUGAAAUGCGUAGAUAUUAGGAGGAACACCAGUGGCGAAGGCGGCCUGCUGGACGGUGACUGACGCUGAGGCUCGAAAGCGUGGGGAGCAAACAG
rnacentral:rRNA from 1 species